GUGGGGAAUAUUGGACAAUGGGCGCAAGCCUGAUCCAGCCAUGCCGCGUGAGUGAUGAAGGUCUUAGGAUUGUAAAGCUCUUUCACCGGUGAAGAUAAUGACGGUAACCGGAGAAGAAGCCCCGGCUAACUUCGUGCCAGCAGCCGCGGUAAUACGAAGGGGGCGAGCGUUGUUCGGAAUUACUGGGCGUAAAGCGCAUGUAGGCGGCUCUUUAAGGCAGGGGUGAAAUCCCGCAGCUCAACUGCGGAACUGCCUUUGAUACUGGGUAUCUUGAGUAUGGAAGAGGUGAGUGGAAUUCCGAGUGUAGAGGUGAAAUUCGUAGAUAUUCGGAGGAACGCCAGUGGCGAAGGCGGCUCACUGGUCCAUUACUGACGCUGAGGUGCGAAAGCGUGGGGAGCAAACAGGAUUAGAUACCCUAGUAGUCC
rnacentral:rRNA from 1 species